rnacentral:lncRNA from 1 species
GUUCUCCAACUCUUAUCUUUUUUUAUACAGGUGAACAUAAAGAUUUUUCAGUCAAUAGCAUACACUGAACAUUGCUUCUAUAUAAAGAGCAGUGUUUCUCAAAGUGUGGUCCUUGGAACAGCAGCAUCAGUAGCAUCGGUGAGCUUUUAUACAAAUGCAGAUUCUGGGGCCCUACCUCAAAAAUGUUAAAUCAGAAUCUCUGAGGGUGGAGCCCAGCAAUCUGCAUUUUAAUAGGCCUUGAAGGUGCUUCUGGUGCACACUUACAUUUGCCAGUCUCUGGUAGAGUCAUUAAACAUUAGUCAUUUGGUUUAAAUAAGUUCAUCUCAAUUAUUAUUAGAUAUUAUUACAUAGAUUUAAUAAAAAAUAAUAGCUUAAGUGAAAUUUUCAACAUUAUCUGGUUAUUACCUGCCCUGAGCUUCUGUGAUUCUGUGCCAU